rnacentral:rRNA from 1 species
UACAGAGGUCUCGAGCGUUGUUCGGAUUCAUUGGGCGUAAAGGGUGCGUAGGCGGUUUGGUAAGUCUGAUGUGAAAUCUAUGGGCUCAACUCAUAGUCUGCAUCGGAAACUGCCGGGCUUGAGUGUGGGAGAGGUGAGUGGAAUUCCUGGUGUAGCGGUGAAAUGCGUAGAUAUCAGGAGGAACACCUGUGGCGAAAGCGGCUCACUGGACCAUAACUGACGCUGAUGCACGAAAGCUAGGGGAGCAAACAGG